rnacentral:rRNA from 1 species
GAUGAACGCUGGCGGCGGGCCUAAUACAUGCAAGUCGAGCGAACAGACGAGGAUCUUUCUCCUCUGACGUUAGCGGCGGACGGGUAAUAACUAGGGGUGUACCUUCCCUUGAGGGAUGGGAUACCUUCGGGAACCCGAACCUAGGACGGGAAAUGUUAUUGAACGCCGGGGUUCAUAGGUCAAAACGGUUUUUGCUUCACCUAAUAGCUGAUCCCAGGCCGGAUUGGUAAGUGGGUAAGGUAGAGGCUUACCAAGGCAAGGCUGCGUAGCCGACCUGAGAGGGUGAUCGGCCACACUGGAACUGAGACACGGUCCAGACUCCUACGGGAGGCAGCAGUAGGGAAUCUUCCGCAAUGGGCGAAAGCCCGACGGAGCAAUGCCGCGUGAGUGAUGAAGGUCUUCGGAUCGUAAAACUCUGUUAUUAGGGAAGAACAAAUGUGUAAGUAACUAUGCACGUCUUGACGGUACCUACACAGAAAGCCACGGCUAACUACGUG